rnacentral:rRNA from 1 species
UACAGAGGUCUCGAGCGUUAGGCGGAAUCACUGGGCUUAAAGCGUGUGUAGGCGGAUCGGUAAGUACCUUGUGAAAUCCCACAGCUUAACUGUGGAACUGCUUGGUAUACUGCCAGUCUUGAGCCAGCUAGGGGCUACCGGAACAAAUGGUGGAGCGGUGAAAUGCGUAGAUAUCAUUUGGAACGCCAAUGGUGAAAACAGGUAGCUGGGGCUGUGCUGACGCUGAGACACGAAAGCCAGGGGAGCAAACGGGG